GCAUAUCAAUAAAGCGGAGGAAAAGAAACCAACAGGGAUUGCCUCAGUAACGGUGAGUGAAGCGGCAAAAGCUCAAAUUUGAAAUCUGGCUCCAUGCGGAGCCCGAGUUGUAAUUUGGAGAGGACACUUCGGGUGCGGCCACGGCAUAAGUUCCUUGGAACAGGACGUCAUAGAGGGUGAGAAUCCCGUCUUUGGCUGCUGGACCGCGCCCAUGCGAAGUUCCUUCGACGAGUCGAGUUGUUUGGGAAUGCAGCUCUAAGUGGGUGGUAAAUUUCAUCUAAAGCUAAAUAUUGGCCGGAGACCGAUAGCGCACAAGUAGAGUGAUCGAAAGGUUAAAAGCACCUUGAAAAGGGAGUUAAAUAGCACGUGAAAUUGUUGAAAGGGAAGCGCUUGCAACCAGACUCGGUCGUGGGGGCUCAGCGGGCAUGCGUGCCCGUGUACUCCCCCAUGCUCCGGGCCAGCAUCAGUUCUGGCGGUUGGUUAAAGGCCUCUGGAAUGUAUCGUCCUCCGGGACGUCUUAUAGCCAGGGGCGCAAUGCGGCCAGCCGGGACUGAGGAACGCGCUUCGGCACGGAUGCUGGCAUAAUGGUUGUAAGCGGCCCGUCUUGAAACACGGACCAAGGAGUCUAACAUCCACGCGAGUGUUCGGGUGUCAAACCCGUGCGCGCAGUGAAAGCGAACGGAGGUGGGAGCCCGCAAGGGUGCACCAUCGACCGAUCCUGAAGUCUUCGGAUGGAUUUGAGUAAGAGCGUGGCUGUUGGGACCCGAAAGAUGGUGAACUAUGCCUGAAUAGGGUGAAGCCAGAGGAAACUCUGGUAGAGGCUCGCAGCGGUUCUGACGUGCAAAUCGAUCGUCAAAUUUGGGGUAUAGGGGCGAAAGACUAAUCGAACCAUCUGGUAGCUGGUCCUGC
rnacentral:rRNA from 1 species